GGUUUUGAUCCUGGCUCAGAUUGAACGCUGGCGGCAUGCUUUACACAUGCAAGUCGAACGGCAGCACGAGUGCUUUGCACUUGGUGGCGAGUGGCGAACGGGUGAGUAAUACAUCGGAAUGUGUCCUAAAGUGGGGGAUAACGCAUCGAAAGAUGUGCUAAUACCGCAUAAUCUCUAAGGAGAAAAGUAGGGGAUCGAAAGACCUUAUGCUUUNGGAGCGGCCGAUGUCUGAUUAGCUAGUUGGUGGGGUAAUGGCCUACCNAGGCGACGAUCAGUAGCUGGUCUGAGAGGAUGGCCAGCCACACUGGGACUGAGACACGGCCCAGACUCCUACGGAAGGCAGCAG
rnacentral:rRNA from 1 species